rnacentral:lncRNA from 1 species
CAUUUAUGUGAAUUGAAAAGUGCAAGGUUGUAUUAAAAAGUAGAUGGAGAUCAUUGAUCUCAAGGACAUUACAUAAUGCUACAGAAUCUACUGAAUAAGAAAAAGAAAUGCUUGCUGCUUUGCGGGUGAAUGUCAUGACUUUG